rnacentral:tRNA from 1 species
GAGGAGAGGNNCAAACCAACAGGAACUGCUAAUUCCCGUAUCUGAGUAUAAAACCUCAGUCUCCUUA